UACGUAGGGUGCAAGCGUUGUCCGGAAUUAUUGGGCGUAAAGAGCUUGUAGGCGGUUUGUCGCGUCUGCUGUGAAAUUUCGGGGCUCAACCCCGAACUUGCAGUGGGUACGGGCAGACUAGAGUGUGGUAGGGGAGACUGGAAUUCCUGGUGUAGCGGUGAAAUGCGCAGAUAUCAGGAGGAACACCGAUGGCGAAGGCAGGUCUCUGGGCCAUAACUGACGCUGAGAAGCGAAAGCAUGGGGAGCGAACAGA
rnacentral:rRNA from 1 species